rnacentral:rRNA from 1 species
GCAAGUCGAGCGCACCUUCGGGGGAGCGGCGAACGGGUGAGUAAAACGUAGAUAACGUGCCUUUAGUUGGGGGAUAACUUCGGGAAACUGAAGCUAAUUCCGCAUGUGUCCUUUGGGAUGAAAGCCUUCGGGCGUCUGAAGAGCGGUCUGCGGCCCAUUAUUUAAUCCUUGUUGGUGAGGUAACGGCUCACCAAGGGUACGAUGGGUAGCUGGUCUGAGAGGAUGAUC